UACGGGGGGGGCAAGCGUUGUUCGGAAUUACUGGGCGUAAAGGGCUCGUAGGUGGCCAACUAAGUCAGACGUGAAAUCCCUCGGCUUAACCGGGGAACUGCGUCUGAUACUGGAUGGCUUGAGUUCGGGAGAGGGAUGCGGAAUUCCAGGUGUAGCGGUGAAAAUGCGUAGAUAUCUGGAGGAACACCGGGUGGCGAAGGCGGCAUCCUGGACCGACACUGACGCUGAGGAGCGAAAGCCAGGGGAGCAA
rnacentral:rRNA from 1 species